rnacentral:sRNA from 1 species
GUUUGUACAAAUAGUUUAGGUGCAAUGAACCACUCUUAUUGGUCAAGGAGUGGUGAGAACCCUCCUGAAAUCUAGGUUCCCAGAUACCAGGCAAGGGCCAAUCUUGCAAGCACAUCUUUCCAAGGUGGCAGUCUCAGGCCUGCUGCGUGAACCCUUUCCUGCCUGCCUCCCUUCUGCAGAUCACUUUGGAGGACUAUGAGCAGGCAGCCAAGAGUCUGGCCAAGGCCCUAAUGAUCCGGGAGAAGUAUGCGCGGCUCGCCUACCACCGCUUCCCGCGGAUCACAUCCCAGUACCUGGGUCAUCCGCGGGCGGAUACUGCACCUCCGGAAGAGGGCCUUCCAGACUUCCACCCUCCUCCACUGCCCCAGGAAGACCCCUACUGCCUGGAUGAUGCACCCCCCAACCUGGAUUACUUGGUCCACAUGCAGGGGGGCAUCCUCUUCGUGUAUGAUAACAAGAAGAUGCUGGAGCGCCAGGAGCCGCACAGCCUACCCUACCCCGACCUGGAGACCUACACGGUGGACAUGAGCCACAUCCUGGCUCU